CGCAAAUCGAUGGUCUCAUGCCACCAUCCGAGCAAAGGCAUGCGAACGCCGAUGUGCUGGCAUCGUACCGGCACCUCCCGCCGCUCGCUGUGCAGGCGUUGCAGUCGCCAACAGGUUCCCACUCCAACAGAAACCCGCCCGCUAUAAGCUGUCUGUAAUUUGCCGCUGUCAUGUCGGCGGCGUUGCUGGACCCAAGCACCAGGAACACUGAAAGCUCGCAACCACCAUUCUCCCGGUUGCUCUGGCUGAUACUGAACCUGUCAGUGAUCGCGAAGGCGGAGGACACGUUGAACAUGACGGUGCACGCAGCAUCGGCAGCGAGGAGGGCGUGCACGGCCACGAGGGAGCGGCGGCCAUAAUCGAAGCCGAGGACCUUGAUGUAGGAGUUUCUUAGGAAGGGACCUGAUGCUCUGUCAUUGCACGUGAGCUGGAACGACGGUGGGCCGCAAGACGACUGGUUCUGGCUGCCCAGCCAGAAUGGGUAGGUGAUAGUCAGGUUCCCGCAUGUCGCCGGUGGGCAGCUUGGGUCCACG
rnacentral:sRNA from 1 species